GUCAACUACCCCGCCCUGAAGGGCGGAGCUUGUUCACUACCCCGGCCCAAAGGCCGGAGUUUUGGGAGCAAGCCGGGUUGACCAGGAAAAGCGGUAUCCAACCCGCUACGUUUGCAACAGGUCGUCAAGACCCACUCCGGGAUGCUUCCUCAGUCCCGGACACUGGA
rnacentral:sRNA from 19 species